CCUUGCUUGGCAGCAUAGCAUAGUGUUAGAACUAACAGCCAUAAAUUCUUUUAUAUGCCGUUUGAAACAAUGUUUCACAAUUGAAAGAAAAUAUUCCUUCAUUAUAUACUGAGAUGCAUAAAGCACAACUGUAGAAACAAGCAGAUCAGAGGAUUUUGUGAGAGGAAUUUGGCUGAAGAAACAGCUCACCAUAUUAUAGUAGUAUAUGGCACACGUACCAGUAAUUGGAGGUGAGCACUGCUCCCUAGCAAUUUAUGGAUGUGAAAAAAAGGGCAAUUAAAAGACAAAGGUGACAUAUAUAUUAUAUUUUACUGCACAACAGAAUUAUAUAUUAUUUAAAAGGUCCCCCAGCAUUCCCUUCUUUGCCACUUGCACAAGAAAACACAUUGGUGGGACAUAAUAUAUUAUAUAGGGCAGGAUAUAAAAAAAUAAAAUCUAUUUUUUAGAAUUUAAUUUAAUUCAUAAUUUUGUUUAAAAAAAAAAUACAAAUCAAUCCUAUUAGUUCUUAGCAGUCUUUCUUUUCUUUUC